UAUUCGACGUGUUUAUGACGUCGAUAUUCGACGUCAUAAACACCAAACUUGCAAUGUUGCUCGUGUUUAUGACGUCGAAUAUCGACGUCAUAAACACCA